rnacentral:rRNA from 1 species
GUUUGAUCCUGGCUCAGGAUGAACGCUGGCGGCGUGCCUAACACAUGCAAGUCGAACGAAGAUGCAUUUCAGAUCCCUUCGGGGUGACGAGAUGCAGACUUAGUGGCGGACGGGUGAGUAAUGUAUGAGCAACCUGCCUUCAAGAGGGGAAUAACAGUCGGAAACGACUGCUAAUACCGCAUAACAAAGCGUAGUCGCAUGACAAUGCUUUCAAAGGAGCAAUCCGCUUGAAGAUGGGCUCAUAUCUGAUUAGAUAGUUGGUGAGGUAACGGCUCACCAAGUCUGCGAUCAGUAGCCGGACUGAGAGGUUGAACGGCCACAUUGGAACUGAGAUACGGUCCAGACUCCUACGGGAGGCAGCAGUGGGGAAUAUUGGGCAAUGGGCGAAAGCCUGACCCAGCAACGCCGCGUGAAGGAAGAAGGUCUUCGGAUUGUAAACUUUUGUCUUAUGGGACGAUAAUGACGGUACCAUAGGAGGAAGCCACGACUAACUACGUGCCAGCAGUCGCGGUAAUACGUAGGUGGCGAGCGUUAUCCGGAAUUAUUGGGUGUAAAGGGUGCGUAGGCGGGUCGUAAAGUCAGAUGUGAAAUGCGGAGGCUCAACCUCCGAACUGCAUUUGAAACUUACG